rnacentral:rRNA from 1 species
GACAGAGGGUGCAAACGUUGUUCGGAAUUACUGGGCGUAAAGCGUGAUGUAGGCGUUGCUACAUAAGUCCGGAUGUGAAAGCCCCGGGCUCAACCCGGGAAAGUGCACUCGAUACUGCGUAGCUUGAGUCUCGGAGAGGUUGGUGGAAUUCUCGGUGUAGAGGUGAAAUUCGUAGAUAAUCGGAGAGGAACACCGGGUGGC